GUAGACAUUGAAAAUACAGUUAAAUAAACGAUGAGUUCUGUCCUGUAGUCGUAUAUUUGGAUCUGCUGUGACUAACUGCUCGUGCUUCAUGGGAAAAAAAAGCGACUUGUGGAAUGUAUUUUUUACGCUCAGCUUUCUUUGGUUCAGCAGCAAGAUAUACGAAACAUGGAAAUUAAUUGAUUGACUCUAAAAGCAAAGUUGCUUCUGGGAAACUCGCUCUCCAUAAUGCAGACCAUCCGUACAGUGAAGACCCCGACCUCCACCUCAGUCCUGCCCUGUGAUGAUCCACAGCCCUGCAUCUUAUCGUGACCCAGCCUCCACCCUGUGGCUUCACAGCAUCGAAAACGGUGAUCCUAGUGGUGGUUGUGGUGGUUUUGCUGGCCGUGCUAGCGCUCAUAAUCGGGUUGUCAGUGGGAUUGAGAUAAUGCCCGUGUGCGGCUUGAAUAAGAGGAGAGCUAAGGAAAAAGAUCCUUAUCAGUGGAGCACGUCUCGGCUUCCUCCUCAUCCUCUUCAUCUUCACUCACAAACCAUCGCGGGACAGUGUCUCACUGCCAUCAUCCGAUCAUUCCCCAUCUCAACCCUCAUCAGUUCACCCACCAAAAGACAACACUGACUCUGAUCACCCCGUACGGCUGUCAUCACAUUCAGCCUGCAGAUCUCCAAACUGUGAAUUCAUGACAAAAAGAAAAAACUGAAGGUACCUGUGGACAAACGAAAAGCACGGGUCUGUUUGAGAGAUGCUCUGCUGGCUGCAAAUGAGGAAAUGAGUUCUACACCAGGUACAACGAUCGUGCCUUUUCACGAAGGCAAAAAGGGAAUUAAGAAAUAACUGAUCACAAAGUCACUUCUGUCACGGAACAUUUCAUCGUCCAGCUCCUGUUGCCAAAGAAUCAGCCUGGAGGUGAAAUUUCAACGAUCUACUUGCCUGAAACCUCAAAAAUCAUCCAUACCCCCACCCACAGAAACCACCCCGCCCACCAUGCGCCAUGUCUUCAUGAGCCUUGACACAUCUCCCGAUUGAAAAGCUCGCUAUUGGACGUUCUGUGAUUAUAUUACUGGUUGUGAGAAGUUUUGGCACUUUCAUAUUUCAGAAUAUAUGAUUAAGCUUGAAUUUUUUUUUUGUAAUUAUCUUGUAAAUAAUAGAAUUACUACUUGUGCAUAGUUGAGGUCUCAUGUUUGUUUUAGUUUUGUUUUGUUAAAAUGGGAUCGUGUACUUUUGGACACAUGUUUAAAGUAGGUAAUUAUCCCUCUUUUGAGGAUCCAUGUAAAUGUUCUUCUGCCCUUUUGAAAUAUUGACAUAUGAUUAUCUUCCUUGUUGAUAUGCUGUACAAUCUAAUGUUUCGAUGCCAAAGAGCUUAAAGAGACACUGGGUGUAACGCUUGCGUCUCGUUUCCCAUGUAUGCUGCGUCGUCUCCGUAUUUGUUCUACUUUAUGAUGACGUGUAGCACAUAGUUUGAACCUCACUGAGGUCCGUCAGGCUGCUGGUUCUUUCCUACUGUGACAUGCAUCGACAGACACAAUCCAUCAGCUGAAGCCCUGCAAUACAUCCUUGGAGUCACGUCACUAAAAAAAUGAUAUAACUCGGGUUUUUUCAGAGGAAUGUUUCACUUUGUGAACAUUGUCGGUUUGCAUGUGUGCAGAUCUAAGCUGUACUGUUUACGUCCACGCAUAGAAAUGAGGAAGAAACUGUAGAUGAGAAUUGCUUGUCAGUGUGCAGUUUAACAAUUCCUCAAAUAGGUGUCCAUAGCAUUAAAGUAGCAAAUUUAACAAAAGCUGAGAAGGAGGUGUACAUUUAGUAUUUUUUUGUGUGGCUUUAUUCUAUAUAUUCAGGUGUUAAGUUGUAAAUAAAAUAUUUAACUGUUUAGAUAGCUUCUAAAUAAUGUUAGUAACAUUUCAGCACAGGAUUCAUUGCAGGGCUUAAAGUGCCUAAUGUGCUGGCAGCUACGGUGACAUGUGGUAUUUUACCAGCAUUUCUUUCAGCUAUUGUUUUCUGGAAUCUGAAUUGAGUCAGACUGACAGUUUCGCCCAUUAACAGACCGCAGCAUCUUAUCCAUCGACUUUAAAGAUGGUAAUUAAAGUAUUUCCUGCUGUGCAUUGGUCAGUAAGACUUAUUUCAGCCAAUCUUCGAUGAAGAAAGCUUUCAAUGGAAUAACUCUUCGGUAGUGCAAUCAACUCGUUUAUUUUAAACCAGAGCCUGAAUGAUGCCUUGUUUUGUAGCUGUGGACAAUGAUGCGUGCAUGUGAGAGGGACGGAAACAACUGAAGCUAUUUUAAGUUAAAUGCCAAGAAUGUCAGGAGAAAUUAAAGAUGUUUAUAUUAACGAUGGCUCGGCUUUUUCUUGCUGCUCCCUCCCCGUCUGACCUGCUGAGCUGCAUAAAGUAAAUGUUUAACCGAAUUCGGACACGC
ensembl:lncRNA